GAUGAACGCUGGCGGCGUGCCUAAUACAUGCAAGUCGAGCGAACAGGCGAUGUCGUUGCUCCUCGGGCGUUAACGGCGGACGUGAGAGGAACACGUGCAUAACCUACCUAUGAGACUGGGAUAACUUCGUGAAACUGGAGCUAAUACCGGAUAAUCUAUUGAGCCGCAGGGGUCAAGAUUUAUAGGCGGUUGUUCUGUCACUGAUAGAUGGGUCCGCGCCGCAUUAGCUAGUUUGUAAGGUAACGGCUUACUAAGGCGACGAUGCGUAGCCGACGUGAGAGGGUGAUGGGCGACACUGGAAUUGAGCCACGGUACAGAGUCCUACGGGAGGCAGAGGUAGGGAAUGUUGGGAAAUGGGCGAAAGCCUGAAGGAGGAACGCCGCGCGAAUGCUGAAGGUCUUCGGAGCGGAAAACUCUGUUAUGGGGGAAGACCAAAUGUGUAAGUAACUAUGCACGUCGUGACGGUACCUAAUCAGGAAGCCCCGGCUAACUACGUG
rnacentral:rRNA from 1 species